rnacentral:lncRNA from 1 species
AUGACUUAGAAUUUGUGAAAUAAAAUAGGGUUGACGUUUCUAAUGAUUUCAAGAGUUCUAUAGUAGAUCUAUGGAUGAAAUUGUGUAAGUUAACGAUCAUAGUUGUAGUUAAUAUGUGUUGUAAAUCUUAACUCAAUCUAAUCGUUAAAAUGAGGGUUAUUGAGGUUUAAGUGGGUUAAGGUCUGAGAAAGUAGAAUUUUAGGUCAAGUGAGGGUUUUUAAGAUUUCUUGCAAUCUACUAGUUGAAUU